rnacentral:rRNA from 1 species
CCUCUCUUGAAUGGCUACCGGCUCUCCCUCCUCUCCGUCCACUCCUUCUCCACUCCACGCGGCCGCCGCCUACGCCGAAGUGCCGCAGCCUCCUCAAAGAGCAGCAGUCAACGGAGCAAGCAGCAGCAACUCGCGGCAGCAGAAGCUACCCGUCCAUGCUCAGCUCGAUGCAGUGCUCCUCCUCGCCGGCGGGUGAGUGCUCCAACACGGCCGCAUCGAUCCACCAGCAAGCAAAGCUAGCCUCUAUCUAGCUAAUCGAGCCGCUCGAUCUGCUCUCACGUGUACUAGACCACUAGUAGUAUGUAUAUAGCUAGCUAAUCGAUCCACUCGAUUGAUUCCUAUGUGUAACAGCAGUACGUACUACGUAUGUGUGGGCGUUUGUAGCCGGGGUGUAUACAUAUACAUUUGAAUACUCAAAUACCUGGGGUCUGUACGCAUACAUUCGAAUACCUGCAAACCACAAUACCUCAGAUUUGGCACUCGGGUUAUAAGGUAUAAGCCGUGUGUAACAGGUGCCAGGCAUCCGGCUUAUAGGCACUACAAGCGGUGGCCUGCCAAAUAUAAGCCGAGAAGGAGGCACUCGGCUUAUAUAUAAUAUAUAUAAACCGAGCGUUGCGGGCGGCACUCGGCUUACAUCGAUGCUGACACAUGGCCGUUAACACAUGGCUACCGUCAUGUUACUUUAUUAAACCGUGUGCCUCGCGCAAACACUCGAUUUAUAUAUAAAUCGAGUUUUUUUAGCACGGCACCCGGCUUAUAUCUGGUAAGCCGGUCCCCUGUAAGCCGUGUCCUAUAAACCGGGAGUUUUACUCGGCUUAUAUAUAAGUCGAGUGCAAAUCGGCAUAAGCCGAGUGUAUUAGGCACACGGCUUACAAUUUUUUUCCUGUAGUGCGUGGAGGUUGGCUCAUAUUUGGUGUUUGUUACGUGUAGGUCGGAUCUGUUUUUCAGAAGAAAAGUAACAUAAAUCAUGCGGUAAAGAUAGAUCAAUUACAUAGAUCAACAGUUAAUAUAUUUUUAAUGAUGUGGAUUAACGUGGGGUCUUGCAUGGUGCUUCCAAUUAGUAAAUAUAAUAUAUAAGAUUUAUCAUAUUAUUAAUUAAAAAUUUAGCUGUAAAUAGGGCCCGCCCCAUUUUUGUCUGAGUUGCAAGUCUAUGCUCGACACACAACUGGGUCCGACCGUUUUUUGUCCUAGUUGGAAGUCCACGCUCGAGAUGCAACUGCAUGCCGACAGGGAGAUUGCAAUUAGUGGUGGGAGCAGGGUUGUCGGUAAGUUUAAUCUCCACAUUUAUAAAAUAUACGUGGUAUUUAGAAAAGUCAUGAUCAUUUUCCAAAAUUACGAAUUUUUUUACAGAGUAAGUUUUUUUUUCAGUUUAGAAAAAUAAGCAUGAUCUUUUUCCUAAUUUGUGAACAUUUUUUAUUUUCAUGAUUUUUUUUAAUUUUCCGUGUUUCCGUUCAUUUUAUUUCUUUCUAUUUCCCCUUCUUUCUUCCCUUUUAUCGUUAUCUUAUUUAGCUUUUAAUUUCAGAAUUUUUUUCCUAGUUUUUUUCUUUUGGUUGUCGUUUUUCAUGGUUUACUUAAAAAUGUUCAUAGUGCAUUUUUAAAAUAUAUUCACCAUGUUUUAAAAUGUACAUCACAUAUUUUUUUAGAAAAUUUCAAAGCAUUAAAUAUAUGUUCACCGUGUUUUAAAAUGUACUAACCAUCUUAUAUGAAAUGUUUGUUGCAUUUUGAGAAUAUUUCAUGAUGUUAUACAAGUUUUUCGUCAUGUGUUUAAAAAAUGGUCACCACAUUUAAAAAAUGUAUAUUGCAUAGUAAGAAAAGUGCUCAUUUUUUACAUUAUAAAAAUGUUCACAAUUAUUUUUCUAGAACUAUUCACAUAAUCUUAGAAAAACUAUUCACCUCGUUCUACAAUUAAUUCACCAAUUUUUUUUAAAGAAAAAUGCUUACUUUGUCACUCAAGUAUUUGUUAUACCAUGUUAAGUCAUCCCUAGUAUUGAACGUGUGUGUCCAUUGAGAAAAUAAGUCAACACUAGUACAUUGCUGACUCAAAAUCCAGUAGCCCGUGAACGUGUGUAGUACAUUUGAGAAGAUGUCUGUAUUUCAUUAAAUGCCAGUAGCCAGCGACAGGACAAUACAGAUUUAGCCAUUAAUUAUUGAUAAUAAAGAAAUAACAUAAAAUUUGAUGAAAGAUUUCAUCCAGAUGUAACAAGACGACAACAGAUUGACGAACUACCGUCCACUGUUGAAUGCUUUCACUUGAACGGAUGGACACGUGUUUCGACCUCAUCUUCUCAGUAUGGGAACAGGAAGCCGGCGUUCGUCUCCAGCCCGGCAGGGAUCUCCGGCAACGGAGGCAUCGCCAUAAGCAACUGCUGUACCGCUACCCCCAUCUCGCCGUCGAACCCUGGCUGCUGAGGAAUCGCCAUCUGCAUCUUCUCCAUAUCCAUCCCCGCGGCGAACCCCGGCGGCGGAGGCAUCUCCUGAAUAUCCAUCCCGACAGCUGCAUCACCAUCUGAUGCUACAUAUUCAUCCCGGGGGCAAACCACUGAGGCGGAGGCUGCUUUGCCAUCACCAUCUCCUGGCUCCUGCUACUACAGAACUCAAAAGUACUGCCACCGAAGAGCUGCCAUUGCCUCGAGGAGAACCUUGGCGUGUUCGGAGACGAUGUCCUUCACCUUCAUCGGGUGGACCCAAGCCGCUAUCUGGUCCCCCAUGUCGCGCUCCUUCGCCAUGACCUCCUGCUUGUGCUCCGUUCGCUUCUUCACCUUGAUAGCAAGCAAUGGUGGCCAAGAGGAAGGGUCGCGACGGCCGGUAGAAGACCGUCCCCCACCGGAUCAUCAAGGAGGACGCCCGGCAUGUGUGCUUCUCCGAGCGUUUCCGGGGGAUAUUCAACAAGGCCAGCGAGCAGGCCCUGCUCACUAGCGCCCAGGUGGCCAUUGUCGGCUUAAUGCCCGGCGGCAAGGCCUUCUCCUUCGGCGAUUCAUCAAUAGACGUUGUCGUCAACCACUUCAGGGUGGGGGACGGCGCUGCCGACAACAACUGGUUGCAAACGUUGCGCCGGCAGCAUGGCGAGGUGCGCACAGAGCUGGCGGAGCGGAAGAAGCGGAUGAAGAGUGCGGACGAGGCCCUGCUUCAGGAACACGCUGUGGGGACCACACGGCAGCGUGGGUCGAACUCGAUGUGAGCAACAUGGGGUAUGAGGACAUGGCGGUGUUCGCCACAGUGCUCAUCCAGGAGCAGGCCGCCGGACGCACCAACCAGGUUCUCAUGGAGGUCUUUCAUGUCCACAUCAGCCGUAACCUCCAGGUGCCCCCGCCGCUGCCGCCAGCCCAGCUCUUGGGUACCCCGGCUUAUCAACCAGGUACGUCGAAAACAUGUUUUCGAGCAUAUGCACCCGGGCCCUUCAUAUCUAGCAGCUCAUUUUCUAACUUGUAUGUGGGAUUAAACUUUCAUAAUUUUUCUUCCAAUAGAAAUAGGAAAAUGAGAUUUGUUUGAUUCAAAAAUCAUUUUUUUAGUAUUUAUGUUGUAGCAAAAAAUCAGAAAGUUUCAUCCCACAUUCUAGGUAAAAAGUUUUGUUCUGCCACAAAUUUUAAAGUUUAAUACAUGUUUUAUAUGACAGAAACAAAAAAAGAGAAAUUUUCAUGUAGUUAGUUAGUUGUGUAGCACAGAUCUCAACGCAACAUUGGAGUAGCCAGGAUAACAAGGGCCGGGUGCAUAUGCUCAAAAAUUCUACAUCCUUGAGUUCGGUAGCAGCAGCACAUGCAAGCAUUCACCAGAUGCAGAUGGCGAUGCAUCCAGCACAGGUGUUCGCUGCCGGCACGAAGAUGCAGAUGGUGAUACUGCCGCCGCCGGGAUGCACAUGGCGGCACUGGUUCUCCGCCGGGAUGGAGAUAGAGCUGAUGCUGAUGGCCAUGCUGCCGACGGUGCCGGAGUUCCCCGCCAGGAUGGACAUGUCCCAGCAGUAGCUCGGGCGAAUCACGGCUUCCCCUACUGAGGAGAAGAAGACAUGGACGUGGAUCAAUCAUUUAGUUCGUGGUCACAGUGAUAUCCAAAAAAAAUCGUGCAGGUUCCAUGGAAGAUCUAUGCAUUAGUUGGUUCAAUUAUCGUAGUAGUACUGUAUUAGUUCUAAUGUUUUUUUUCAUGCUAAGUACAUGCCUUUUCAUAGUUCAAACCUUUCAAUUUUUUCAUGCUUAAGUUCGUG